AAUAAUUACAGUUUUAUACUAUUCACGUUCAACGUUUGAUCGUUCGUCUUAUUUAAAAAAAAUUUAUAAUUAAUAUUUUUAUUGCUAAAACAUGAAUAGCGCUUUAUGUGUUACUAAAUAUUUUUAAAUUUUUUAUAUAUUUUUUAAAUAAGAUAAAUGGUUAAAUGUUGUGUAUGAAUAUCCACG
rnacentral:pre_miRNA from 1 species